rnacentral:rRNA from 1 species
UACGUAGGUGGCAAGCGUUGUCCGGAUUUAUUGGGUUUAAAGGGUGUGUAGGCGGGUCGGAAAGUCGGGCGUGAAAUCCCUCGGCUCAACUGAGGAACUGCCUUUGAAACUGUCUGGCUUGAGGCCGGGAGAGGGUAGCGGAAUUCCCAGUGUAGCGGUGAAAUGCGUAGAUACUGGGAGGAACACCGGUGGCGAAGGCGGCUACCUGGACCGGUUCUGACGCUGAUGCGCGAAAGCGUGGGUAGCAAACAGG